CAGACCGGAUGACGGAGCGUUCCCGGAGCCUGUGGCCCAGGCCUCCCCAGCCUGGCGCGCGCGGUAAAGGCUCAUCCAGCAAACGCAGGAAGAAGUAGUUUUCCCAGGCUGUGGAACGGUUUAGGAGACCGUGUUCCAUAAGAACUCCACGCUCUCCCCGGCAUACGCCCUGGGGUCCCAGCUUAGCUGCAAAGUAAAAGAUGUGCACCAGGAGCAGAGUAGGAGCCAGGCACAAGAAGCAUCAGUUUGGGAGAGGAAGGCCAAAUGAGUCCAAGGAACGUCCUGUACUUCCCACUUGGAGAGAAGGGCGAGCAGAAGCACCCCCUGGGGCACGAGCCAGGUCAGCUGCUGUCACUGGAGAGACAUGGCUGGGCAGCUGGCAUCACAGGCUGAGGCCCACCCACACUGAGGAGGGGGCAGUCUGCUUCAUCCAGUCCACGUACCCAAACGUGAAUCUCUGCGGAAACACCCUCGCGGACACACUCAGAAACACCGUUUACCCAGCGCCUGGGCGCCCCGGGAUCCAGCAAGUUGAUGCGUAAAGUUAAGCACCACACGCAGUACGCCUGACCGCUCGGCUAAUGUGGCGGCGCCUCCGUCCUCAACAUGUUGGAGACAACGUCGGCUGGCAAAGCUUAACUCACUCUCACCUCCGAUCUUUCCAAGAAUACUCCUUAACAUUGUGUACAACUGUGCAGCCGUUUCUCUCACACUCCUUGCUGCCGUUAGGGAAAACACGGACGAGAAGUCCCUCCUGUAUGCUAAACUUGGCCUCAUCUGAUCAUCCGAGCAGCUCUUCUCGGUCUCUUGGGUGACCAUCUCCUCCUUCCUCACACCUGGCGUGGAGGUGACAGGUGUCUAGAAGUCAUGGAAGAAGAAAGUGUGAGGGUGGCUGGGGCAGGUUCUCUGCUCACCCGCGGCUUCUACCGUGUUUUGUCGGGUUCCCCACGGACCUCCUAAGCUCCUUCUUGGAGGAAAAAGAAACAGGAUUGAGCACAAAACGGCAUGUCAUCAUGUCAGGGGGCAGCCACGCCUGGAUGACUCUACGUGGCUGUAGGCUACCCCAUCUCCUCUAAAAUAUAAUGAAAUUGAAGGGAAAAAAGGCUAGACACCCCAAAACCUGAAGAGAAAGGUGAUCAGGGUGUCAAAGGUCAAAGGUAUGCAGUGGCACGCUUAAUGCAUUUUCCUAUCUUCUCAGUAUCUUGCUCACUGAAAAAUCUGAUGACGAGUUGGCCAGUUUUUGUUUUAAAUAAAACAGAUUUGAGGCAGAGGCCAUCUAUCUUAUCUGUGCCUUGCUCCCCCACAAAGAAAACAUCUUAGCAAUUUCUAUACGAAGGUACAAUUUCUUACCCAGUCUAGAGCAUCUCUUCUUAAACAUUAUGACCUCAUGCAGAAUGUUUUACACGUAUCUAUUCAGACUUUCAUAAAAACAGCCACCACUUA